rnacentral:lncRNA from 1 species
CGCCCGGCGGCAAAUUCCACCCUCGGGCGGUCCAGGGCGAGGAGUAGGCACGUAGCGUUGGCGUUGGGCGGAUUUGCGAUUUGAGGGAAACCGCCGGGCGGUAGACCCCUACCGCCGGGCGGUAGUGCGAUUUGUGGGAAACCGCCGGGCGCCACACUUGUUCCACUGGGCGAUUGUCUGUUGGUCUUGGGCCUGUUUUCUGUUGCGCUCCUCACC